rnacentral:tRNA from 1 species
GAGGGUGUAGCUCAGUGGUAGAGCACAUGCUUAGCAUGCACAAGGUUCUAGGUUCAAUCCCCAGUACCUCCA